AGAGUUUGAUCAUGGCUCAGGAUGAACGCUAGCGGCAGGCUUAAUACAUGCAAGUCGAACGGUAAGGUUUCUUCGGAGACACACGAGUGGCGCACGGGUGCGUAACGCGUAUGCAACCUACCUUUAACUGGGGAAUAGCCCCGAGAAAUCGGGAUUAAUACCCCAUAACAUCCAGUUUUCGCAUGGGAAUUGGAUUAAAGCUCCGGCGGUUAAAGAUGGGCAUGCGUGGCAUUAGCUAGUUGGUGAGGUAAAGGCUCACCAAGGCAACGAUGCCUAGGGGUCCUGAGAGGGUUAACCCCCACACUGGUACUGAGACACGGACCAGACUCCUACGGGAGGCAGCAGUAAGGAAUAUUGGGCAAUGGACGCAAGUCUGACCCAGCCAUGCCGCGUGCAGGAUGACUGCCCUAUGGGUUGUAAACUGCUUUUGUACGGGAAAAAACCCUUCGAUUCGUUCGGAGGCUGAUGGUACCGCGCGAAUAAGCAUCGGCUAACUCCGUGCCAGCAGCCGCGGUAAUACGGAGGAUGCAAGCGUUAUCCGGAUUCAUUGGGUUUAAAGGGUGCGCAGGCGGAAUAGUAAGUCAGUGGUGAAAUCUUCCGGCUCAACCGGGAAACUGCCAUUGAUACUGCUGUUCUUGAGUACAGUUGAAGUGGGCGGAAUGUGUCAUGUAGCGGUGAAAUGCUUAGAUAUGACACAGAACACCGAUAGCGAAGGC
rnacentral:rRNA from 1 species